AUAGUCCUUUUCCAGGAGACAUGGCCAAGCAGUGAUCUAUCAAGUGAGUUUGGUUAUGCUGACAUCCUGAGUUAAUUCUUAUUAACGAUAACGCAUCGGUCGUCUUACUUCUGACGAUACGAUGCAAUUUUUGAAGGC
rnacentral:ncRNA from 12 species